rnacentral:rRNA from 1 species
UACGGAGGGUGCGAGCGUUAAUCGGAAUCACUGGGCGUAAAGCGCACGUAGGCGGCGCAUCAAGUCAGACGUGAAAGCCCUCGGCUCAACCGAGGAAUUGCGUUUGAAACUGGUGUGCUGGAGUCUCGGAGAGGUUGGCGGAAUUCCAGGUGUAGGAGUGAAAUCCGUAGAUAUCUGGAGGAACACCGGUGGCGAAGGCAGCUCACUAAACUACAACUGACGCUCAUGCA